AGCCGACCUUGAAAUACCACCCUUUAAUGUUUGAUGUUCUAACGUGGACCCGUGAUCCGGGUUGCGGACAGUGUCUGGUGGGUAGUUUGACUGGGGCGGUCUCCUCCUAAAGAGUAACGGAGGAGCACGAAGGUUGGCUAAUCCUGGUCGGACAUCAGGAGGUUAGUGCAAUGGCAUAAGCCAGCUUGACUGCGAGCGUGACGGCGCGAGCAGGUGCGAAAGCAGGUCAUAGUGAUCCGGUGGUUCUGAAUGGAAGGGCCAUCGCUCAACGGAUAAAAGGUACUCCGGGGAUAACAGGCUGAUACCGCCCAAGAGUUCAUAUCGACGGCGGUGUUUGGCACCUCGAUGUCGGCUCAUCACAUCCUGGGGCUGAAGUAGGUCCCAAGGGUAUGGCUGUUCGCCAUUUAAAGUGGUACGCGAGCUGGGUUUAGAACGUCGUGAGACAGUUCGGUCCCUAUCUGCCGUGGGCGCUGGAGAACUGAGGGGGGCUGCUCCUAGUACGAGAGGACCGGAGUGGACGCAUCACUGGUGUUCGGGUUGUCAUGCCAAUGGCACUGCCCGGUAGCUAAAUGCGGAAGAGAUAAGUGCUGAAAGCAUCUAAGCACGAAACUUGCCCCGAGAUGAGUUCUCCCUGAGACUUUAGGUCUCCUGAAGGAACGUUGAAGACGACGACGUUGAUAGGCCGGGUGUGUAAGCGCAGCGAUGCGUUGAGCUAACCGGUACUAAUGAACCGUGAGGCUUAACCUUACA
rnacentral:rRNA from 2 species